AGCUCUGUAGUAAAGGUGUUUCAUUGGCCUCAAAAGAAGUGAAACUAAUGCUCUAAACAAAGAGCUUUUAGCAGAGCACCUUCAGGGGCUACAGGGUGAGACCAGUUUUAUUGUUCUGCAGGAAUUAAUCACCUUGGAAAUAAAAGAAGACAACAAAAAGAACAUAUUAUUACCAACCCUUUCCUACCCUGAAUACCACACAUCAGACAGUGAUCUUCGAGGAAAACAAAAUGAAUACCCCCUGAGACUCGGGGUACCAUCGAUUGACCACACUGUUGUGAAUGAAGAGUGGGCUUUCCCUGACUAGACCUGACUGGGACUUUAAAAUGACAAAAGGAAAAAUAAAGCUACUGGCCUAGGAGAAGAGACUGGAGUGAUGCACACUGAGGCCCUGGAGUCCUGGAUGGCUUUAAACUGAGGUAGACCCUUGCUGUGUCCAUUGAGCAUGGGAGAUGUGACACUGAACUGGUAAGCAGGGAUAAACUCAAAGACCUUUGAUGUGAAAUAAACAAAAGAAAGUCCUCUGUGAAUGCUCUGCUCUGUGCCUACACACUCCUGUCUCUGGGGGUUUCUCCAUGAUUACUGACCUUGCUGUCUGUCCUGCACACACAGAUUACCCACUACUAACUUUUUUUUUCCUUUCUCUGUAUUCUUCUCUCAUACAAAACACCCUGACCACAGCCUUUACUCCUUUCUUCCUUUCCUCAGAGUUCCACCCCUCACCGCCCCUCUCCCCUGGAUAUAAUCCUUCUCUGUCUCCCUUCAGAAAUGAGCAGGCCUCCCAGUGAUAUCAACCCAAUACAGGAUAACAAAAUGCAGUACAACUAGGUAAAUACCCUCAUAUCAAGGCUAGACAAGGCAAACCAGAAGGAGGAAAACGGUCUCAUGAGUAGGCAAAAGGGUCAAAGACACCCUAAUUCCAACUCUUAGGAAUUCGAGAAGUACACCAAGCUAACAGCCAUAACAUAUAUGCAGAGGACCUAGUGCAGGCCUAUGCAGACUUCAUGAUUGCUGAUUCAGUCUGAGCCUCUAGGAGCCCUGCUUAGUUGUGGGCCAUGUUUUCCUGGUGUCUUCAUCACUCUGGCUCCCACAAUCCUUCCUUUCCAGUUUCCAUGGAGUUCCUGAGCUUUGCCUAAAGUUUGGCUAUGGGUCUCUGCAUCUGUUCCCAUCAUAUAUUACUGUUUUAAGAAAAGAAAGUAUAACGUGUGGUCUCUUUCCUUCUGAUUCUUGUAAAGUGUAACAUGCGGUCUCCUUUUGUUCUGAUUCCUAACACCAUCUGUUUUGAGUUAGUCUCUCAGGGCAAAUGAAGCACAAGGUAAGUGGAUUUUCACAUAUUACUGUUUAUUUUUACAACAUAGCAUAAUAUAUGGUAGAUCUUAAUUGUUGAAAAUUUGGAGUAAGUGGCCACUUAAAUUUAAAUGAAUGGUGUUGAAUACCUGCAUAAUUAUUUACACAAUGAAAAUCCCAUAAUCGUUAUUUUUUUAAGAUUUAUUUAUUAUUAUAUGUAAGUACAUUGUAGCUGUCUUCAGACACACCAGAAGAGGGAGUUGGAUUUCAUUAUAGAUGGUUGCGAGCUACCAUGUGGUUGCUGGGAUUUGAACUCAGGACUGUUGAAAGAGCAGUCAGUGCUCUUAACUGCUGAGCCAUCUCACCAGCCCCCCCACCCAUAAUCAUUAUUGGAAUACAGAAAUAAAACCCUCUGAAAAUUCAUACUUGAAGAAUUUAUCUAGACAUCUUACUUGGAUUGUGGAUGGGAGGGAAGGUCACCAAUUUUGUGAAAGAAAUUCCAUUUCAGUUUGUAGCCCAAGAAGGCAGCUUCAGCCACCCAUCCUCAGGAAGCCAAUAGUGUCUGUAUAGGGCAGGAGAUCAGAAAAGGGGGACUUCUUCAAUGUGACAACAGUGUAAAGAAGAACACAGAGCUUAGUGACCCAGCUGCUGCCAAAUCACAGUUUUGGAGCCCACAGAAUAAACGUAACAGUGUCCCAAGUGUAGUUCCCAGGCAUAUUGUAGGGAGAGUGAGACAUUAGGAAAGAUUUGAGGUGUGUCAUUAUUCCCACCUGUGCUGAUUGAUGAGGAGUUCCCUUUGGUGCAGAGCAUUUGUAAAACCUGGAAGAGCUCACUUGGUUUGCAAAUGCCUAAGCCACUGUUCAAACUGGGCAUAGUGGCAGAAGCCUUUGAUUCCAGCACUUGGGAGGCAGAGGCAGGUGGAUCUCUGUGAGUUCAAGGCGAGUCUGGUCUACAGAGUGAGUUAGUACAACAGUCAGUGCUAUGUAGAGGGAUCUUGUCUAAAAAAAAACAGGAGAAAAUAUUGUACAUAAAUCAAACAGGAAAGAUGAACCCAUCAAAAUGAUGCUUCAUAGACUAAGGUGUCACUUAAGAUGUGUGAGCUGCUUGAAAGAUUAAAAAAGAAUGUCUUAAAGAUGCUCAGUGAGCUAACAGAGCCCCGGAGAAAGCACUAAAUCGGAGAUAGGAAAGGAUGAAUGGACAAAAUUGUCUAACAAUAUAAAUAGAAUCAAAUAGGAGGACAAAAGGAAUUUAGUCACCUCAGUGAAUGCAGAAGCAAAGCAGCACUUGACAAGAUUGCACAUCACUGCUGUUGAAGUGUUUAUCAAAUCAGGGGGAAAGCCCAACUGUCAAGACAGUGAUAGACUAGAGAGAUGGCUGUAGGAAGAGGGUCCUCCCACCACGCAUGACUGAGCUCAACUGUCAGGACACAUGUUAAGGAGAGUGAUGGCUUCCAUAACUGCCCUCUGUGCUCUGACCUCCACAAGGGACUCAUGUGUGUCAUGCUUUUACACACGAAGACAAUUAGUCAGUCAAACAAUCAAUCACUCGAUCAAUGUUUUAAAACAUUUUUUAAAUAUAAAAGUCAGUGACUAACAUCAUAGUGAUGCUAAGACUGAAAACAUUUUCUCUAAAACUGGAGGCUCUUCCUUCCCCACUUCUGUUCAUGAUGACAUGGUACAUAUCAAAGUGAACACGUGACAUAUUUGCUGUGUUUGUACUGUGCUUUCUAUUGGCACUGCAGAGCAGAUAUGGAAUACUUACUGUAUUGGAAUUCUAGGGUUUGUAUAAAGAGUACCAUAGUCUGGUCAGCUGCAACAACAGGAAUUUAUAUUCUCAGAGUUCUGGAAGCCAAAGUCUACAAUUGGAGUGUUCUCAAAGUUGAUUUCAUCUAAAUCCUACCCCAAAGAUCUUAAAACUAUCUUGUUUCUCUAUUUCCCCUCCCUCCCUGGUAUCAGUGCCCUAAUCUUUAUGUUAUCAGUCAGAGUAGAUUAGGGUAUAAUUUAAUAGCUCCAUUUUAGUUAAUGAAUCAAGACUCUGUCUCCAGUACAGUUCUAUUCUGGGACUUCAAGGUGUAGAAAUUCAACAUAUGGAUUGGAGGGACACCAUUAAUGACAUAUUAGUGAAUUUAAAUAAAUCUAAUGAUAGCAUUUAUCUACAAGUGAUUUUUUUAACUGUUAACAAACCUUUGUCUAUUUAAUGUGUGUGUGUGUGUGUGUGUGUGUGUGUGUGUGUGUGUGUGUGUGUGUGUGCAUGUACGCUAUGAGGUAUGAACUCAUGGGCUGGAGAGAUGGCUCAGCCAUUAAAGGCUAGGCUCACAACCAUAAAAUGUAAGAGAUAU